rnacentral:rRNA from 1 species
CUCUCCACGGGACGCAGCAGUAGGGAAUUCUCGUCAAUGGGCGCAAGCCUGAACGAGCAAUGCCGCGUGAACGAGGAAGGUCUUCGGAUCGUAAAGUUCUGUUGAAGGGGAAAAAGAGCGGAGAGAGGAAAUGAACUCCGAUUGAUAUUACCCUUCGAGGAAGUCACGGCUAACUACGUGCCAGCAGCCGCGGUAAUACGUAGGUGGCGAGCGUUAUCCGGAAUGAUUGGGCGUAAAGGGUGCGUAGGCGGCCUGCUAAGUCUGGAGUGAAAGGUACCGGCUCAACCGGUACAGGCUCUGGAAAA